UUGUCUUCAGGGCGGGGUGUGAUUCCCCACCGGUGGUAAAGCCCACGAGCGCUGCUGCGCAUGAUUCGGUGUGAUUCCGAAGCCGACGGUAUAGUCCGGAUAAAAGAAGAUU
rnacentral:ncRNA from 1 species